CUACCUGAUCCGAGGUCAACCUUUGGAAAAUUGGGGGGUUUUACGGCAAGAGUCCCUCCGGAUCCCAGUGCGAGACGUAAAGUUACUACGCAAAGGAGGCUCCGGGAGGGUCCGCCACUACCUUUGAGGGCCUACAUCAGCUGUAGGGCCCCAACACCAAGCAGAGCUUGAGGGUUGAAAUGACGCUCGAACAGGCAUGCCCGCCAGAAUGCUGGCGGGCGCAAUGUGCGUUCAAAGAUUCGAUGAUUCACUGAAUUCUGCAAUUCACAUUACUUAUCGCAUUUCGCUGCGUUCUUCAUCGAUGCCAGAACCAAGAGAUCCGUUGUUAAAAGUUUUGAUUAUUUGCUUGUACCACUCAGAAGAAACGUCGUUAAAUCAGAGUUUGGUUAUCCUCCGGCGGGCGCCGACCCGCCCGGGGGCGGGAGGCCGGGAGGGUCACGGAGACCCUACCCGCCGAAGCAACAGUUAUAGGUAUGUUCACAAAGGGUUGUAGAGCGUAAACUCAGUAAUGAUCCAUCCGCAGGUUCACCUACGGAA
rnacentral:rRNA from 1 species